rnacentral:rRNA from 1 species
UACGGAGGGGGCUAGCGUUGUUCGGAAUUACUGGGCGUAAAGCGCACGUAGGAGGCUAUGCAAGUCAGAGGUGAAAGCCCGGGGCUCAACCCCGGAAUUGCCUUUGAGACUGCAUCGCUAGAAUUGUGGAGAGGUAAGUGGAAUUCCGAGUGUAGAGGUGAAAUUCGUAGAUAUUCGGAAGAACACCAGUGGCGAAGGCGACUUACUGGACACAUAUUGACGCUGAGGUGCGAAAGCGUGGGGAGCAAACAGG